UGGGGAAUAUUGCACAAUGGGCGGAAGCCUGAUGCAGCAACGCCGCGUGAGGGAUGACGGCCUUCGGGUUGUAAACCUCUUUCAGCACCGACGAAGCGGGAGUGACGGUAGGUGCAGAAGAAGCGCCGGCCAACUACGUGCCAGCAGCCGCGGUAACACGUAGGGCGCGAGCGUUGUCCGGAAUUAUUGGGCGUAAAGGGCUCGUAGGCGGUUUGUUGCGUCGAGAGUGAAAUCCCAAGGCUUAACUUUGGGACUGCUUUCGAUACGGGCAGGCUAGAGGUAGGCAGGGGAGAGUGGAAUCUCAGGUGUAGCGGUGGAAUGCGCAGAUAUCUGAGGGAACACCGGUGGCGAAGGCGGCUCUCUGGGCCUUACCUGACGCUGAGGAGCGAAAGCGUGGGGAGCGAACAGG
rnacentral:rRNA from 1 species